GUCCACGCCGUAAACGAUGUCUACUAGCCGUUGGAGUCCUUGAGGCUUUAGUGGCGCAGCUAACGCACUAAGUAGACCGCCUGGGAGUACGGUCGCAAGAUUAAACUCAAAUGAAUUGACGGGGCCCGCACAAGCGGUGGAGCAUGUGGUUUAAUUCGACGCAACGCGAAGAACCUUACCAGGUCUUGACAUCUAGAGAAUUUGCCAGAGAUGGCUUAGUGCCUUCGGGAACUCUAAGACAGGUGCUGCAUGGCUGUCGU
rnacentral:rRNA from 1 species